GCUAUCCUACACCGCAUCGAUCUUAAAGGCAAGGGGAAGUGGUUUUGUUUUCAGAAAGUCGAUAAAUAGCGUACAAGUUCAGGCAGUUAAAACUUUCCACAAGUCUCCCUUGGUUCUGGCAUUGCUGGGGAGCGCAGCGGGAGGCGAAAAACUAAUGUAAAGAAAAAAAGACCGUGAAUCAGAGGGUCUUUGAACGCACAUUGCGCCGUGGGGUGUUCCGGGGGGCAGCCUGUUCGAGCGUCAUUUCAACCCCUCAAGCCCGGCUUGUGUGAUGGACGACCGUCCGGCCCCCUCUUUCGGGGGCGGGACGCGCCCGAAAAGCAGUGGCCAGGCCGCGAUCCGGCUUCCUGGGCGAAUGGGCAGUCAAACCGAGCGCCCUCGGCACGGCCGCUCUGGCCUUCCCCCAA
rnacentral:misc_RNA from 1 species